rnacentral:rRNA from 1 species
AGUGAACGCUGGCGGUAGGCCUAACACAUGCAAGUCGAACGGCAGCACAGUAAGAGCUUGCUCUUACGGGUGGCGAGUGGCGGACGGGUGAGGAAUACAUCGGAAUCUACUUUUUCGUGGGGGAUAACGUAGGGAAACUUACGCUAAUACCGCAUACGACCUACGGGUGAAAGCAGGGGAUCUUCGGACCUUGCGCGAUUGAAUGAGCCGAUGUCGGAUUAGCUAGUUGGCGGGGUAAAGGCCCACCAAGGCGACGAUCCGUAGCUGGUCUGAGAGGAUGAUCAGCCAAACUGGAACUGAGACACGGUCCAGACUCCUACGGGAGGCAGCAGUGGGGAAUAUUGGACAAUGGGCGCAAGCCUGAUCCAGCCAUACCGCGUGGGUGAAGAAGGCCUUCGGGUUGUAAAGCCCUUUGUUGGGAAAGAAAAGCAGCAGGUUAAUACCCCGCUGUUCUGACGGUACCCAAAGAAUAAGCACCGGCUAACUUCGUG